AACAAAGAAUAACACAAAAGGGGAUUUAGGGUUAAGCGGUGUAUACCGAUUGAGAUUACACGAGCUCACUUCUCUUCCUCUUCACAAGGAUAAAGGCGCGGCGGCGACUUCACCUCUUCCUCCGAUCACUGCGACGGCGAUUCUCUUAUCAGGCUUUCUUCUCCGGUCCCGAGGCCUUAAGUCUCUUCUCUCGAUCUCUUUCUCCUUCUCGUCGCGUUUGAUGAUGAUGAUGGAUGCUGUCACGAAGUCGCUGAAGGUGUGCGAUGAUGGCGAUGCUGAUGUUGUGGCGAGGCGAUGCUGAAGUUCUUGAAUCAAGAGGGGAUGGAGAUUAUCAAUGGGAGAGUUGAGAUUGUAGAUCGAAGGUUAUGGAGUGGUGGACGAAGAAGAUGAAUUGGAGGAUGAAGGUCUGAUGUGUAUGGAGAUAAGAGAAUGGUCGAAGAGGGAAUUCUGAGAGAAGAAAGUGAAGGUUGAAGGAAGAAGAGAACUGGAGAAGGUGAUGACGGAUUGAGAGGAUGAAUCCAGGUGAAAAAUGAAGUCCUGAAGAAUCCCCCAGUGUUUAGUUCUCUCGAGUUUUUGUAGGUUUUGAUUAGUUGCAGGGACUGAACUUCUCAUGGCUUCUUUGCAGUAGGUGGAGUUGUGGUUGGAGGACGGUGUUUAUGACGUGAAGACGGUUGGAGUAAAGGGCUGCCACGGUCACUCUUGGAGCUUGAUGAAAGUGAGAUGGUUUUGAAGGCAUGAUGUGAUAGGUUUAGGAUUUUUGUGUAAUUCACUUUUGUGACAAAUUGUAUGGACAUGUAUUGUAAUGGAUUUGGCCGAACACUUGAAUGAAGGCUUUUUGUAAUAUACCUUUUUUUUGUUCCAUGAUGAAAAUUGUACUUUGAUGAGUUGCUGAACAUUUUUGAAAGGGAAUUGCUUGAAUGGUUCAUGAGUGAGUAUUGAAGUAGCUUUGAGACUUGUC